rnacentral:rRNA from 1 species
UCCCGAGCGUUNUCCGGAUUUAUUGGGCGUAAAGCGAGCGCAGGCGGUUAGAUAAGUCUGAAGUUAAAGGCUGUGGCUUAACCAUAGUACGCUUUGGAAACUGUUUAACUUGAGUGCGGAAGGGGAGAGUGGAAUUCCAUGUGUAGCGGUGAAAUGCGUAGAUAUAUGGAGGAACACCGGUGGCGAAAGCGGCUCUCUGGUCUGUAACUGACGCUGAGGCUCGAAAGCGUGGGGAGCGAACAGGAUUAGAUACCCUGGUAGUCCACGCCGUAAACGAUGAGUGCUAGGUGUUAGGCCCUUUCCGGGGCUUAGUGCCGCAGCUAACGCAUUAAGCACUCCGCCUGGGGAGUACGACCGCAAGGUUGAAACUCAAAGGAAUUGACGGGGGCCCGCACAAGCGGUGGAGCAUGUGGUUUAAUUCGAAGCAACGCGAAGAACCUUACCAGGUCUUGACAUCCCGAUGCCCGCUCUAGAGAUAGAGUUUUACUUCGGUACAUCGGUGACAGGUGGUGCAUGGUUGUCGUCAGCUCGUGUCGUGAGAUGUUGGGUUAAGUCCCGCAACGAGCGCAACCCUUAUUGUUAGUUGCUAUCAUUCAGUUGGGCACUCUAGCGAGACUGCCGGUAAUAAACCGGAGGAAGGUGGGGAUGACGUCAAAUCAUCAUGCCCCUUAUGACCUGGGCUACACACGUGCUACAAUGGCUGGUACAACGAGUCG